ACUCCCCAAAAUGGCCUCAACAGCCAGGGCUGGCAAGGAGCCAGGAAAUCCAUCUGAGUCUCCAACACAGGUGGCAAGUGCACAGACACUUAAUCCAUCAUCUGCUGCUUCCCAGGAUACAUUAGAAAGAAACUGGAUUGGAAGCAAAGCACUCAGGACUCAAACCAGACAAGGUUCAAGAAGUAUUCUGUUUCCUAGAAAUUGGAAUUAACAGAGCUGAUCAAACAACAAAACUACAAUGAAAUUGCCUGAAUUUUACUAUCAUGCAUUAAUCCAGCAAAAGAUUAAAAGAGAUGACUAAAAUUUUGUGACUGUGGAACAUUCUUUCAUGGUAAUCUGUAGACAACUGCAGUCUCUACUAGUAUGUGAAAGCCAAAACACAAACUACCAGGAAACCUGAGGAAAGAAGACAAAAGACAAAGGCAAAGAAAGUGAAGGAGGGGGAGAGAAGGAGACGGCGAGAGUGUAUGUGUGUUCCCAUCCCCUGUUUCUCUCCUCCUAAUGCUCUCAUCAGCCAGGAGGCCAAAGCGGGGAGCCAGGAACUCAAUCCCAUCCUCCCAUGUGUAUGGCAAGGAACCCAAUCAUCUGAGCCAUCAGUGCUGCCUCCUAGGUCCCUAUCACCAGGAAGUUGGAAUCAGGAGCCAGAACCUUGCACUGAACCCAGUCACUUCAAUGUAGGAUGCAGGCAACCUAACCAGUGGCUUAAUGAACUAAGCCAAACGCCCUCCUCCAAGAAAAUUUUUAACGAUAAAAUAAUUACAGAAUUACUUCUCUUCAAAAGAAUACUAAACAC